rnacentral:rRNA from 1 species
AUUGAACGCUGGCGGCAGGCCUAACACAUGCAAGUCGAACGAGUGGCGGACGGGUGAGUAAUGUCUGGGAAACUGCCCGAUGGAGGGGGAUAACUACUGGAAACGGUAGCUAAUACCGCAUACCAUCGGAUGUGCCCAGAGGGGAUUAGCUAGUGGGUGGGGUAACGGCUCACCUAGGCGACGAUCCCUAGCUGGUCUGAGAGGAUGACCGGCCACACUGGGACUGAGACACGGUCCAGACUCCUACGGGAGGCAGCAGUGGGGAAUUUUGCGCAAUGGGCGAAAGCCUGAUGCAGCCAUGCCGCGUGUAUGAAGAAGGCCUUCGGAUUGUAAAGCACUUUCAGCAGGGAGGCGUUACCCGCAGAAGAAGCACCGGCUAACUCCGUGCCAGCAGCCGCGGUAAUAC